UUCUCAAAUGUCAUGUCACGAGCAAUAAAACCAGUUCCUGUUGCAGCUGUACAAUUUACACACAGACACACACACACAUACAAUGAUUAAUACGAUAAAACAGUAGAUUUCAUAACAGUAAAUUUGAGCACAGAGGAAAAUUGUGAGAU